GAUGAACGCUGGCGGCGUGCUUAACACAUGCAAGUCGAACGGGACUUGUUAAGUUGAAACUUCGGUCGAUUCUUUUCAAGUCUAGUGGCGGACGGGUGAGUAACGCGUGGGUAACCUGCCUCACACUGGGGGAUAACAGUCAGAAAUGACUGCUAAUACCGCAUAAGCGCACAGCAUCGCAUGAUGCAGUGUGAAAAACUCCGGUGGUGUGAGAUGGACCCGCGUUGGAUUAGCUAGUUGGUGGGGUAACGGCUCACCAAGGCGACGAUCAGUAGCCGACCUGAGAGGGUGACCGGCCACAUUGGGACUGAGACACGGCCCAA
rnacentral:rRNA from 1 species